rnacentral:misc_RNA from 1 species
GUGAAUCAUCGAAUCUUUGAACGCAAAUUGCACUCUCUUCGGAGAGUAUGCCUGUUUGAGGGUCAGCCUAAAAAAAAAAAAUCGACAUAGUCGCUGUUUCGCGGUGACAUUCGUCUGAAAUUUUGUCAUUUUAAAUCUUUGGGUUUUAAUUUGUUUAAAAUUUUCUUUAUGAUUCCACGAACGUUUUUAAGAUUUACUUCUUAUACGUUUAAGAUAUAGAUCUUUAUUAGACGUGGCCGUUG